rnacentral:rRNA from 1 species
AUUGAACGCUGGCGGCAUGCCUAACACAUGCAAGUCGAACGGCAGCACGGCAGUAGCAAUACUGUGGGUGGCGAGUGGCGGACGGGUGAGGAAUACGUCGGAAUCUGCCCAGUCGUGGGGGAUAACUAGCCGAAAGGUUAGCUAAUACCGCAUACGACCGAGAGGUGAAAGCGGGGGACCGCAAGGCCUCGCGCGAUUGGAUGAGCCGACGUCGGAUUAGCUAGUUGGUGGGUAAAGGCCCACCAAGGCGACGAUCCGUAGCUGGUCUGAGAGGAUGAUCAGCCACACUGGAACUGAGACACGGUCCAGACUCCUACGGGAGGCAGCAGUGGGGAAUAUUGGACAAUGGGCGCAAGCCUGAUCCAGCAAUGCCGCGUGUGUGAAGAAGGCCUUCGGGUUGUAAGUACACUUUAUUCUAGGAACGAAAGAC